GUCCACGCCCUAAACGAUGUCAACUGGUUGUUGGACGGCUUGCUGUUCAGUAACGAAGCUAACGCGUGAAGUUGACCGCCUGGGGAGUACGGCCGCAAGGUUGAAACUCAAAGGAAUUGACGUGGACCCCGCACAAGCGGUGGAUGAUGUGGUUUAAUUCGAUGCAACGCGAAAACAUUACCUACCCUUGACAUGUCAAGAAUCUUGCAGAGAUGUGAGAGUGCUCGAAAGAGAACUUGAACACAGGUGCUGCAUGGCCGUCGU
rnacentral:rRNA from 1 species